CAAGCACGUCUCAAACCACUAACUGAAUAAAACUAAAGUUAAACAGCUACCACCACGAUCAAAGAUCGUGAUCU
rnacentral:rRNA from 1 species